CAAGGGCGUAAGUGCAGCGCGAGUAAAGGGGCGCCCGGCACCGGCGCCCUGCGGGUCCCCCCACCUCCCUUGGACUUACGAGUGUGUACGAGGCACACUGGCUCCUUCACUUGCAGGCUUCUGCUUUUCUCUCCCCUUUUGGGUUCUGGUUCCGAAUUCAUCCGGGGUCCAGGAUGACUGUCCGACACCAAGGCCAGCAGAACAGGCCGAGGAUGGCCUUUCCCGGAGGUAAGGGAACUGAGAAGGCCCGACACUGGAAGGUGGUGACACCGGUGUCACUACAGUGGGAGGACAAAGCACAGUGGGCAGUGGGAAGGAGUCCUGUGCUUCCACGUGAGGAGCAGGGGAGAGAACCUUGAAGCUGGGACUGAAGGGUGCUGGUGCUUCUGUGGAGACAGCGCAGAAGGAAGACCCAGGCGCAGGGGCAGAAGCGUGCGCCAGUCUGGUGUGUUUGAAGCAUGUUGUUCGCCGUGGGUCAUGAAGAUCCCCUAUGCCUUUCAAAGGUGGCCCAAUUUCCCCCAAAGGAAGCCAUUCAGGGAUUUGGAACAGAUCGAAGCAUCAGGAAAACACACAUGGAACCAGAGAUGGGGAUCAAACCGCAAAGCCAGAGGGGCCUGUUAUCAGGGGCCCGAGCGACAUAACAAAACUGGCAUAGACUCUAGUUUUCUCCCACAAAUCAGUUCAAAUUGGAGGGACAGAACUCAGAGGGAGGAAGGCAAGAUGAAUCCCAUGUUAUUUCCUGAAACCGCU